rnacentral:sRNA from 1 species
UAGAAUGACGUUUUUGCUGUCAAUGUGGU